AGCGAACGCUGGCGGCAGGCUUAACACAUGCAAGUCGAGCGCCCCGCACGGGGAUCGGCGGACGGGAGAGUAUCACGUGGGGACAUACCUUUUGGUUCGGAACAACUGAGGGAGACUUCAGCUAAUACCGGAUAAGCCCUUACGGGGAAAGAUUUAUCGCCGAAGGAUUGGCCCGCGUCUGAUUAGCUAGUUGGUGGGGUAACGGCUCACCAAGGCGACGAUCAGUAGCUGGUCUGAGAGGAUGAUCAGCCUCACUGGGACUGAGACACGGCCCAGACUCCUACGGGAGGCAGCAGUGGGGAAUAUUGGACAAUGGGGGAAACCCUGAUCCAGCCAUGCCGCGUGAGUGAUGAAGGCCUUAGGGUUGUAAAGCUCUUUUGCCCGGGAAGAUAAUGACGGUACCGGGAGAAUAAGCCCCGGCUAACUUCGUG
rnacentral:rRNA from 1 species